GCUCCAACAGGUCUCGCGGGAGCCGGCUGCGUCCUCAAGACUGUCUUCGAGGGUACUCUGCGUGCGCCUCAGAAUACUGAGGUUGCCUCAAUAAAGUCUGAGACUACGUCUUGGUAAUUGACCCCUGGACUGAUAACAGCGUAAAGAGAAGGAAUGCUCACAUACAACCUGUGGCCUAAUCACACCAGGAGGGUAUUAAUUCCAUUUCACCCAUGAGGAAACCGAGGCUCAAGAAGCUGAAGUCAUCUACCCAAGUCCACAAGGCUAGAAGUGGAGAAGCUGGGAUUCAAACUCAAGUCCCACUUCAGCUUCUGAGACGAGCAGUGAGUUAAAGAGUAACUAGAAAGAACGGAUACGACAAGUUUCUUCAUCUCCAGGGACCCCCGCGCUCUGCACACGGAGAUGUUUUCAACACAAGCCGCCUUUCUUCCACCCGGAAUGUUCUCUAACUGGAGAUCUCCAUCCACCAACACCUGAGUGCCUCUAUGGCGGGCAGGUGCCAGGCUCAGGGCCGUUACCCUCCGGGACAGCCUCCUUUUAUCCCGCCCCGGCGCCUCCAGCUCCUAGGAGGCACAGCAUUUCUCACCCAGUCCUACAGUCCUUCAAGUGAGCAGGGGCCGUGCCUCGUUCAUUUUUCUGCCAAAGGGCGGGCAUCCAAGUAUCGUUAGUGGGAUGAAUGGAAGAGUAACGACGGGCGUUCUAAAAAAGACGCUUAGAACUUCGGAAACGUCUGCACGUCUGGGUGGCGGUUCGGCGGGCACCCGAGUAAGGGAGAAGUCUGCACUCUAGGAGGAGACCUCGGUGACCCGGAGGACCCCAGGGAGACUAGAGGGGCAAGAGCGCGGCUUUCGCAUUUGCGUCUGCGCAGUAGUCUCACUCCGCAGGGAGGCGGAGUCGAGAAGAGCCAGGGGCGGGAUGCGGGGACUCCGCUGGCCAAUUAACCGGCGUAGCUCCGCGAGAGGGGCGGGGUGAGGCGCGACCGAGAGGUGGAGGGGGCGGGGCCAAGGGGGGCCAAGGCCUUGGAGCCCGGAACCUCACCCUCCCAAACCAGUGGCCCCGGGUGACCGAAGUCCUCAUUGUUAACCGUUGUCCCAGAGACGUUCUCUGUAAAUUAAAAUUUACCUGUUGCCUCCUUCA